rnacentral:rRNA from 1 species
GGAAGUAAAAGUCGUAACAAGGUCUCCGUUGGUGAACCAGCGGAGGGAUCAUUACCGAGUUUACAACUCCCAAACCCCUGUGAACAUACCACUCGUUGCCUCGGCGGAUCACCGCGCCCCGUGAAACGGGCCGGCCCGCCAGAGGACCUAAACUCAAAUGUUUUAUUGUAUCUUCUGAGUAAAAACACAAAUAAAUCAAAACUUUCAACAACGGAUCUCUUGGUUCUGGCAUCGAUGAAGAACGCAGCGAAAUGCGAUAAGUAAUGUGAAUUGCAGAAUUCAGUGAAUCAUCGAAUCUUUGAACGCACAUUGCGCCCGCCAGUAUUCUGGCGGGCAUGCCUGUUCGAGCGUCAUUUCAACCCUCAAGCCCUUGGGUUUGGUGUUGGGGAUCGGAGGGGGCCCUUCUGGGCCGCCCCGUCCCCUAAAUCUAGUGGCGGUCUCGCUGUAGCCUCCAUUGCGUAGUAGCUAAACACCUCGCAACUGGAACGCGGCGCGGCCAAGCCGUUAAACCCCCCAACUCUUUCUGAAUGUUGACCUCGGAUCAGGUAGGAAUACCCGCUGAACUUAAGCAUAUCAAUAAGCGGAGGA